rnacentral:rRNA from 1 species
GAUGAACGCUGGCGGCAGGCCUAAUACAUGCAAGUCGAGCGGAAAGACCAGGAGCUUGCUCUUCUCACGUUAGCGACGGACGGACGAGUAACAAGUGGAUAACCAACCUAUCUCUCUGGGAUAACUAACGGAAACAGGAGCUACCUCCUGCUACAUUACAUCACCGCCGGGUUCCAAAGUGCAAGAAAGGUUUUCUGUCACUUGUAGAGGGAUCCGCGCCGCAUUAGUUAGUUGGGGAGGUACCGGCAGCCCAAGGCAACGAUGCGUAGCGGACCUGAUGGGAUGGUAGGCCACACUGGAUCGGAACCGCGGUCCAGACUCCUACGGGAGGCAGCAGUGGGGAAUGUUCUGCAAUGGGCGGGACCCUGGCGGAGCAACGCCGAGUGGGGGAUGAGAGUCUUGGGAUCGGAAAUCUCUGUUAUUAGGGUAGAACAAAUGUGUAAGGAACGAGGCACGUAUUGACGGUACCUAAUCAGAAAGCAACGGCUAACUACGUG